CUACGUGCCAGCAGCCGCGGUAAUACGUAUGUCGCGAGCGUUAUCCGGAAUUAUUGGGCAUAAAGGGCAUCUAGGCGGCCCUGUAAGUCUAGGGUGAAAACCUGCGGCUCAACCGCAGGCCUGCCCCGGAAACUACAGGGCUAGAGUGCUGGAGAGGUGGACGGAACUGCACGAGUAGAGGUGAAAUUCGUAGAUAUGUGCAGGAAUGCCGAUGAUGAAGAUAGUUCACUGGACGGCAACUGACGCUGAAGUGCGAAAGCUAGGGGAGCAAACAGGAUUAGAUACCCUGGUAGUCCUAGCUGUAAACGAUGAUUACUGGGUGUGGGCAUGAAGAGUGUCCGUGCCGAAGCUAAUGCGAUAAGUAAUCCGCCUGGGGAGUACGGCCGCAAGGCUGAAACUCAAAGGAAUUGACGGGGACCCGCACAAGCGGUGGAUGAUGUGGAUUAAUUCGAUGCAACGCGAAGAACCUUACCUGGUCUUGACAU
rnacentral:rRNA from 1 species